GGCAGCAGUGUGCCAAUUUAAAGGUUUUCAGUGAUCAUUUGCAGGAAGAAAAUCAAGAGCUGAGGAGAAGUUUGGAGGAACAGCAGCAUUUGUCAAAUAGGAUACUUGAGAGGAUCCAUCAAAUGGACCAAGGAAGUGAAUGUUCUCAGACCCAAAUAGCAAAUCUGAGAAGAGAGAGUCAAGAACUUUCUGAGGACUUGAAUGUAGUAGAAGCUGGCGAGGAGAGUGAUGAUGGUGAAGAAGUAUUUGAGGAUGCUCUGGAUCAUUUGUGAUUGGUGUAAAUCUGGAGAUAAAGUUUACCUGCUCAUUCUUAGAUGGUUUGACAUCUGAAUUUUGUUGUGUAACUAAAUGUCAAUUGGUCUUUGAAUUGCAUUUGAA